rnacentral:pre_miRNA from 1 species
ACUCAAACUUCGGGGGCACUUUGUAAUGUGGACCUAAAGUGCCGCUGGGUUCUGAGUGG